AUGAACGCUGGCGGCGUGCCUAAUCCCUGCAAGUCGCGCGAACAGACGAGGAGCUUGCUCCUCUGACGUUAGCGGCGGGCGGGGGAGUAACACGUGGAUAACCUACCUAUAAGUCUGGGAUAACUUCGGGAAACCGGAGCUAAUACCGGAUAAUAUAUUGAACCGCAUGGUUCAAUAGUGAAAGACGGUUUUGCUGUCACUUAUAGAUGGAUCCGCGCCGCAUUAGCUAGUUGGUAAGGUAACGGCUUACCAAGGCAACGAUGCGUAGCCGCCCUGAGAGGGGGAUCGCCCACACUGGAACUGAGACACGGUCCAGACUCCUACGGGAGGCAGCAGUAGGGAAUCUUCCGCAAAGGGCGAAAGCCUAACGGAGCAACGCCGCGUGAGUGAUGAAGGUCUUCGGAUCGUAAAACUCUGUUAUUAGGGAAGAACAAAUGUGUAAGUAACUAUGCACGUCUUGACGGUACCUAAUCAGAAAGCCACGGCUAACUACGUG
rnacentral:rRNA from 1 species